UACGUAGGGUGCAAGCGUUGUCCGGAAUUAUUGGGCGUAAAGAGCUCGUAGGCGGUUUGUUGCGUCGGCUGUGAAAACCUGAGGCUCAACCUCAGGCCUGCAGUCGAUACGAGCAGACUAGAGUGUUGCAGGGGAGACUGGAAUUCCUGGUGUAGCGGUGAAAUGCGCAGAUAUCAGGAGGAACACCGGUGGCGAAGGCGGGUCUCUGGGCCGAUACUGACGUGGAGGAGCGAAAGCGUGGGGAGCAAACAGG
rnacentral:rRNA from 1 species